UUUCUGCUGCCAAGUAUGGCAUGGAGGAGAUGUCCCUUCAAGACGGUUAGACACAUAGUCUGCAGCAGAAUGCCAUUCAUGGCCAUCCUGGAUCUCUGUCAGAGUCGCCAUCUGUUGCAAAAAAGGAGCUUCUUUGACAAAGGUGAAAGCAUCAUCCAUCUACGGUACCAGAAGAAAAAAUACUGCUCACUGAUUUGCCAAUAAGCAAUAUUAAAGGAGAAGGCAAAUAGAAUGAUCUAUCUAAACAGCAGAGCUCAUCAUUCAGUAGAAUCCAUAAGAACAGCAGGUCACAUCCUCCGGCCGCUAUUUUUAAAGACCUGAAAAUAAUAGUACUCUAAGCUCAGCCUUAUUCAGAUUCCAGAGCUGAUGAUUGGGUGUGACCAGAGACAAACGAAGCCUUGGAACAAUUUCCCAGGAGUCCCAUUCACAUGGGGAUAUGGUAGCCCCGCAACUUUUUUUUGUUUACAAAAUUGUUUUUUAUAGACGCAAUAAAGAUCAAAAUAUAAAAGCC
rnacentral:lncRNA from 1 species